rnacentral:rRNA from 1 species
AGAGUUUGAUCCUGGCUCAGGAUGAACGCUAGCGACAGGCCUAACACAUGCAAGUCGAGGGGCAGCGGAGAGGUAUCAAUACCUUUGCCGGCGACCGGCGCACGGGUGAGUAACACGUAGGGUGCAAUCCACCUGUAACAGGGGGAUAACCCGGAGAAAUCCGGACUAAUACCCCAUAAUAUGGGCGCUCCGCGUGGAGAGCCCAUUAAAGAGAGCAAUUUUGGUUACAGACGAGCAUGCGCUCCAUUAG